rnacentral:rRNA from 1 species
UACGGAGGGUGCGAGCGUUGUCCGGAAUCACUGGGCGUAAAGGGCGCGUAGGCGGCAGGCCAAGCGUGCGGUGAAAGUCCGGGGCUCAACCCCGGAUCUGCCGUGCGGACUGGUUUGCUAGAGCACUGUAGAGGCGAGUGGAAUUCCGGGUGUAGCGGUGGAAUACGUAGAGAUCCGGAAGAACACCGGUGGCGAAGGCGGCUCGCUGGGCAGUGGCUGACGCUGAGGCGCGACAGCGUGGGGAGCAAACAGG